UACGUAGGGUGCGAGCGUUAAUCGGAAUUACUGGGCGUAAAGCGUGCGCAGGCGGUUGGGUAAGACAGAUGUGAAAUCCCCGAGCUUAACUUGGGAACUGCAUUUGUGACUGCUCAACUAGAGUAUGUCAGAGGGAGGUGGAAUUCCAAGUGUAGCAGUGAAAUGCGUAGAUAUUUGGAAGAACACCGAUGGCGAAGGCAGCCUCCUGGGAUAAUACUGACGCUCAUGCACGAAAGCGUGGGGAGCAAACAGG
rnacentral:rRNA from 1 species